CGCCGCGCGCGGCGGGCGGGGCGGGGGCACGGGGGGACUCCUACGGGAGGCAGCAGUGGGGAAUCUUAGACAAUGGGGGCAACCCUGAUCUAGCCAUGCCGCGUGAGUGAUGAAGGCCUUAGGGUUGUAAAGCUCUUUCAGCUGUGAAGAUAAUGACGGUAGCAGCAGAAGAAGUCCCGGCUAACUCCGUGCCAGCAGCCGCGGUAAU
rnacentral:rRNA from 1 species